rnacentral:sRNA from 1 species
AUACUGUUUGGUAUCACAAACACAGCUGCCACUAUACCAGGCAUGAUUGCACCGAUCAUCGCUGGAGCACUCACACCUAAUAAAACUGCAGAAGAAUGGAAGAUUGUGUUUUACGUCUGCGCGGGAAAUGCAGCAUUUGGUGCUAUCAUCUAUUUAUUACUCGCAGACGGAGAGCUGCAGUCCUGGGCGGUCCCGCCACAGUCAAAAGUGAAGAUGGAGGUUUUAGUUGAAAGGGAUCGAGAUGAAGCGAAAAAAGUUCGGCCAAAUAGUCAUUCGUCCCAGUAAUAGGACAUAGCAAAGUGGCAAAAGGGACCAAUUACAAAAUAUGUUUCAGUUCACUGUGAGAAAGACAAUGUCACCAUAGUGGAAAUGUUCGGAUAGAGAUUCUUGUGUCGGAACACAGAGAGUAAUUAUGUAAACAGAGUUUGUAAUAAAUUAUAGGCGUGUAAAAUGUGUGUAAGAUGUGUGUACGUUCAAAGUUGUGUGUAACUUUUAUGUAAGCUGUUGAACAUUAUACCUGUAAACCAUAAAUUAUCUUUUGUAAUUAAAAAUGAACUAGUAAUGUAUAAUAGAUGUUUUAGGUAAUUAAAAAACCACGAAAUCUAAAA